GUCGAAUCGUGUCGUCAUUCCAGAAAAGACAUCCGCGAAGUGAACUCGUAUUCGCUGUGUAGUGUGUGGUCGAGUUUUGAAUAUUGCAGAGAAAUUGUGAUUUUGGGAAUCACCUGGUUUGAUUUUCUACCCUUCGUCGGGAAAUAAAUCGGUUCUAGCAUCGGCGUCGCAUCUUGAGGAGCCGCAGGCAAUAUCCGCUCCCAACAUGGCGGACGACGAGCAAUUCUCGUUAUGUUGGAACAACUUUAAUAGCAAUUUAUCGGCCGGAUUCCACGAGUCGCUGUGCCGUGGCGAUUUGGUGGACGUGACGUUAGCGGCGGAGGGGCAGUUUGUGAAGGCGCAUCGGCUGGUUUUGUCGGUUUGUUCGCCAUAUUUUCGGCGAAUGUUUACGCAAAUGCCCGCCAAUCAACAUGCGUUCGUGUUUCUGAAAGACGUUAGCCAUACCGCGUUAAAGGAUUUAAUACAAUUCAUGUACUGCGGAGAGGUGAACGUGAAACAAGAUGCCCUCCCCGCCUUUAUUAGUACAGCAGAAGCGCUGCAAAUUAAAGGGUUGACUGAUAGUGAACCGGCACCAUCUCAAUCGCCUGCUAAGCCAUCAACACCCGCCCCUCAGCCGCAACCUCAAACAAUAACCACCCCAACAAUGACAACAGCCACAACAACAACGUCACCGCGGGCACGAACAUCAAAUCAAAGAAGUAGAUAUAAGUUAGAGUCAGAAGAUAGUGGAGAUGAGAAUAAACCCACCAACCAAUUAGUUUUACAACAAACACAAACUACGCAACAACACCAACAAGCCACAUUAGUACAACAAACACAAAAACGUCCCGCGCAACGUAGUAUCACGCCGCACACUGCACCGACAGUGAAACGUAUUAAAAAUAAUGAUCCCCUCGAGGGAACGGACGCGACAACAACAACCACUCAAAUCACAGUACAAGCGGUAACGGACUCAAAAUCAGCGACUGGUGAACCUGAGUAUAUCGACUUGCCAAUCGAUUUACCAACAAAAUCGGAACCUGACUAUGGCGAAGAAGCGGCGGAUGUAGAGGCGGCUGAACAGGAAGCGACAUAUGUUGAGGAUGAUUCUUAUGGCGAUAUGAAAUAUGAUGAGAGCUACUUUACGGAAAAUGAAGAAGGGGGCGGGACUACGACUGGAGCGACAACCUCAACGGCUGCAGUGAAACAAUCUGUGUCAUUUUCGGAUUCGUAUGUAAGCGAUACGGGUGAACAGCAGCAAGCUGCAACAGAAGCUCAAGUUUCAGAUAAAACUCCAGUUAUUAUUCAGAUGAUGGAGAAGAUGAUGAACCGAUUGAUGUAGACCAGUUGCGAUACAGAAACAGCAUAAAAGGAAAUUUGCAAUUAUGUGUUGAUGGAUAUCCAUUUACUAAGCAUAGAGUUACCGCAUUUACAACAUACUGGCGAUGUGUCCAAUUUCGUCCUUUUGGAUGCAGAGCACGCAUACGUACCAAAUCCGAUGGAGCCGGUCAACAAGUGGAAAUUGUCGAUCGUCAUCAUAAUCAUAGUAUACUUACUCAACGAAGGAAGAAGGGUUCAUUGAAAGCGCUCUAUGCAGCACGAAAAAAGUCA
rnacentral:misc_RNA from 1 species